rnacentral:rRNA from 1 species
GGGGAAUUCUGGGCAAUGGGCGAAAGCCUGACCCGGCAAUACUUUAGGAUGACGAAGAGUCUUUUGUAAAAUCCUAGUUAUUUUUUAUGAUAGAAAAAAAUAAAAUUCAGCCCCGGCAAAAUUUCUGUGCCAGCAGCCGCGGUAAGACAGAAGGGGCUAGUGUUAUCCAUCAUGAUUAGGUGUAAAAGGUAUGUAGGUGGUGCGCACAGUACUAGAUCGAAAUUUUAUAAGAGUUUAUAAACGCAUCUAGCACUCUAGCACUUGAGAUUUAAGGGUGUAAUUGGAAUUUCUAGUGUAGGGUUAAAAUCCAUAAAUAUUAGCGAGAAGGCUCAAGGCGAAGGCAUUUUACAACUUUUUUCUGACAUUGAGAUACUAAGGUCCGGGUAGCAAAUGGGAUUAGACACCCCAGUAGUCUAGACACUCGACGAUGGGU